GAAGCCAGGGCGAACCAUGAAAUGAAGAGCACAAAGAAUAAAGACAAUUGAUUCAUAUGCACAGAAGGUCUGAA
rnacentral:tRNA from 1 species